AGAAAAUAUAUUCUAGUUUCAAAAUAUAAGUGUAAUAUAACAAUUACAGAUUUUACUUUUUAAAAAAAGAUACAGAAUGUAUCCCAAAAGAUACAGAAAAUGUAUCUUUUGGAAGAGUCUUACCCAAAACUGUAGAUCUGCUUCUUUUUAUUUUUGCUGCUUCCUCAAGUGUACUGUACUUCAUGUUGGACAACCUCAUAAGUGUUGUUUUCAGAACAUUAAACUGUUUACUGCCCUUCUUCCAACCUAUCUUUUUCCGAACUGCGUCAAUAGCUUUAGUCAUUUUAGACAGACUCCACUUUCUUUGAUCAACCUUCCCCACUAUCCUCUUAGAAUCUGCAACAGAAUUCCAAGAGAAUGAGAAUACAGACAGACUUUACACAUGAAAAAAUAAGCGGUCCGGUUUGUGUGACUAUAGCGUACAUUUUUUUAACCCAAUAAAUUUUUAACCUAAAAUCUAAAUUAAACAUUUUAAUGAUAAACAUGAACCUUAAAC
rnacentral:lncRNA from 1 species